rnacentral:tRNA from 1 species
GUGAAUAUAGUUUAAGUAAAACAUUAGAUUGUGGUUCUAAAAAUAAGGGUUAAAGUCCCCUUAUUCGCU